GAAGCCCAGCGCAUAACCUCCCGGGCUACCAAGCCUGCGGCGGCAUGUUGCGUAAAGGGAAAGGUCGUUGUUAAGCCCUGCACAGCGUGUACCUAAGUUUGGCUUGAUGUUGUCGCGGUUCCUAACGGAGCUACGGUACCACAGAGGGUGACAGUCCCGUCUGGCCACGUGAUACAUGUGCAUGGGUUCGGCCUCAUUCCCUGAGAGUCGCGUUGCUUGAGCAUGCAGCGCAAAGCAGGACGUAAACUCGUCCUAAGGCUAAAUACAUCCACAAAACCGAUAGCUAACAAGUACCGUGAGGGAAAGUUGAAAAGCACUCUGAAGAGAGAGUCAAAAGACCGUGAAACCGCUCAGAGUAUAAGCCAAUGGUUUUCGGAAAGCUGGGUCCGCGGAACAAUGUUUGAUUCCUUCUUGGAGUUGGCGGAGUUUCGUAUCGUGUGUGUCAAGCGCUCUCCUUUGCUGUGUGGUACCUUUGCUGGUCAUCCUUCAUUGAGUUGUUUGGAUCUGUGGAAACUCACGGGCCUCUGACAGUGGUAACUGGGGCGGCUUCUUGAGGAGCUGCCCCUAGGCUGGGCUUGAGUGAGCGGGCAUUGAGGAGCACACUAACGAGUGGACUUAAAACAGCUCACCACAACUCUUUAUUGGGUCCCCCAUGCGAGGUGUGACUUGUGUGGGCAGUGCGCGUCCUGUGGGCCAAGCCUUUAUCAGCUUGCAAGCGUGGGUUUCCGGCCCACGUGCUCAUGGGCGGCCUGUCUCGAUCACCUAUUCCAGACGUGUGGCGGUAUGAUCCCUUUGAAGGUUGCUUUCUGACCAUCCAUAAGCUUGAAGCUUGUGCGGACUUCCGUAUGAGCAAGGUUAGCCUGUGCGUUGUCCUGUAAGUCGUUCCCUCUUUAUGGGGUGUUCGCUUUCUCGACCGGGAGAACCGUUGGUGGAGGAUGAAUGGUGACUAAUUCCGGGGCCAUUGGUCACGUCUCGAAACACGGGCCAAGGAGCAUAGCAUGUGCGCAAGUCUAAGGGUUCCACAAAACCUGGAGGCGAAGUGAAAGCAAGUUGGUGUGUCAGUCUGAGCUUGGGCACUCUGUGUUCUGGCAARGGCGGGCAGCCCGGGUGUUUAGUAAUUCCUGUUUCCCCUCGUGGGUCGCGGACGUAUGCUYUCCCCGGCUUAUACCGAGCUGAUCCACCGUUAGCAAGCGUCCUCGCGCAACGGUGGCGCAAGCUCCAGGCUCUCCAUCAUYGCUCCCGCAAGGGAGUGAGUGGGAGCACUGUGUAGCGUGCAUGCUAUGACCCGAAAGAUAGUGAACUAUGCUUGGCGA
rnacentral:rRNA from 1 species